CCUACGGGUGGCAGCAGUAGGGAAUCUUCCACAAUGGGCGAAAGCCUGAUGGAGCAACGCCGCGUGGGUGAAGAAGGUCUUCGGAUCGUAAAACCCUGUUGUUAGAGAAGAAAGUGCGUGAGAGUAACUGUUCACGUUUCGACGGUAUCUUACCAGAAAGCCACGGCUAACUACGUGCCAGCAGCCGCGGUAAUACGUAGGUGGCAAGCGUUAUCCGGAUUUAUUGGGCGUAAAGGGAACGCAGGCGGUCUUUUAAGUCUGAUGUUAAAGCCUUCGGCUUAAACGGAGGAGUGCAUUGGAAACUGGGAGACUAGAGUGAAGAAGAGGAGAGUGGAACUGCAUGUGAAGCGGUGAAAUGCGUAGAUAUAUGGAAGAACACCAGUGGCGAAAGCGGCUCACUGGUCUGUAACUGACGCUGAGGUUCGAAAGCGUGGGUAGCAAACAGGAUUAGAUACCCUGGUAGUC
rnacentral:rRNA from 1 species